UAGGGAAUCUUGCGCAAUGCGCGAAAGCGUGACGCAGCAACGCCGCGUGGGGGAAGACGGCCUUCGGGUUGUAAACCCCUUUCAGGAGGGACGAAGGUUCGUCGGUUAAUAGCCGGCCGGACUGACGGUACCUCCAGAAGAAGCCCCGGCUAACUACGUGCCAGCAGCCGCGGUAAUACGUAGGGGGCAAGCGUUGUCCGGAAUCAUUGGGCGUAAAGCGCGUGUAGGCGGUUCAGUAAGUCCGCUCUGAAAGUCCGGGGCUCAACCCCGGAAGGCGGGUGGAUACUGCUGAACUAGAGUGCGGAAGAGGCGAGUGGAAUUCCCGGUGUAGCGGUGAAAUGCGCAGAUAUCGGGAGGAACACCAAUUGCGAAGGCAGCUCGCUGGGACGUGACUGACGCUGAGACGCGAAAGCGUGGGGAGCAAA
rnacentral:rRNA from 1 species